GAUCGGGGCCCAUUUGUCAAUCCCAGAGGCUGAGGAUAAGAAGUGCUAUCGCAGAAGGGCAUGCACCUGCAUUUCACAGAGAAGAAACUGGAGGCUGAGGAUUUGCCUUCUCUGAGAACUCAGAGUCAGACCUGGCUGCAGAGAAAGAGCUUUCUGUCAAGAAAAUUGGAUAAGCCCUGGGGAUAUUUUGAGAAAGCGCUAGUAGGUUAUUCCUCUCAGAGAUUCAGCAGCAAAAGGAUGACAAAGAGCACCUCACUGACUAGGUCGUGAGCCAAACGUGGGAUUUAAUGUACUUGUUCCACCAGGUGGCUCCUCAAAAUGGAGUUCUAGGGGGGCUGGGCGCGUAUCGCGGCGGAAAAGACUUUUCACAGCACGCAGAUGCUCUGGGUUUCAUUCCCACAAAAGCAAACAAGACGAAACAGGACGAAAACACAGCAGAGCUCCAGGUGCAUGGGUCUAGGAAGAAGGCUUUAGAUCUUUCCUUCCCAAGGAGUGGGAAAAGCUCCAGAUCAGUGGAAUAUUGAAGAAUGGGUGAUGCCCAGUGAGAAGAAUCCACACUCAAGAAUUCACGUUGGGGAGCAAGCAGCGCAGACGCUUCUGACGCAGGUGUGACUGGAUUGGCCAAGGAAGCACUGCUGCCCCCUGCUGCUCGGAAGGGCAACCUGCAGGCUCUGGAUGAAGGGGCGUUUUCCGAGAUCUCUCCACCUCCCUGGGUAGCCGCUGUCCUGACUAGGUCGUGAGUCCACCAUCCCUGGAGGAACCCACCCUGAGUCACGCUGGGGAGGCUGGUCGGGCGGGACUCAGGGGCCAGGAGCAGAACUUUUGCUGGAAAAGCAAGAUCAGGGAGAUCAAGCCCCAAUGCAUGAAGCAAGACUCUAGCAUUCUGGGGUCCUGUACCCUACCCUUGCCUCCCUCCUUGCCUUCUUUCUCUUCCCCUUCUUCCAGAGUCAAAUUCAGAGGUUUGAGUUGGACACUCUUCUCACCUUAUUGGCAUGAUUGGUCUAGGCCAGAAUGUUUUCUUGUUCCAUUUAAAAUAAUUUCUGGGCCGGUGAUUUAGCUUGGUG